GUGGGGAAUAUUGGACAAUGGGCGAAAGCCUGAUCCAGCCAUGCCGCGUGUGUGAAGAAGGUCUUCGGAUUGUAAAGCACUUUAAGUUGGGAGGAAGGGCAGUAAGUUAAUACCUUGCUGUUUUGACGUUACCAACAGAAUAAGCACCGGCUAACUUCGUGCCAGCAGCCACGGUAAUACGAAGGGUGCAAGCGUUAAUCGGAAUUACUGGGCGUAAAGCGCGCGUAGGUGGUUCAGCAAGUUGAAGGUGAAAUCCCCGGGCUCAACCUGGGAACUGCCUCCAAAACUACUGAGCUAGAGUACGGUAGAGGGUAGUGGAAUUUCCUGUGUAGCGGUGAAAUGCGUAGAUAUAGGAAGGAACACCAGUGGCGAAGGCGACUACCUGGACUGAUACUGACACUGAGGUGCGAAAGCGUGGGGAGCAAACAGGAUUAGAAACCCUUGUAGUCC
rnacentral:rRNA from 1 species